rnacentral:tRNA from 2 species
UUGGACACGUGACGAAACAGGCAAACGUGGGCGUUUUGGAAACGUCUGUCCGAAAGGGCUUGCGGGUUCGAAUCCCGUCGUGCAAA